AUACGUCAGGAUCAUUUGUCACAGAUCACACGCAUCUGAAGAACAUCGUUGUGUGUACAGUCCUGACUUUGCCUCGAAUCCACACUUUCCAGCCUCGUGGGAAAAUGUGCAUCCAGGUAAAUGUAAUCAGUCCCCUAGGAAGGGGAAAGCGCAUCAAUCUGUGUGACAAUGAAGAACAGUUGAAGCAGAUCACCACAAUGCAGCUGAAGGAAAAAAUUGAAGAACUACUAAUGGGAGGUGAAAACAUCCGGAUGGUCUUUAAAGGGGAGAAGCUGGAUGGAAAGUCUCUGCUGUCAUCUUAUGGGAUCCAAAACAUGUCCACCAUUCAGACACUGCCGAUAGUGACUGGGGGAUAAAAAUUUGAAAUGGUCCUGGGGGGGUUAUCGCUGCCCGGGUGCUACAGCGGACUUCCUACUAGCCUCCCCAAAACACAGUCUACAACGGAAGAACUAUGCUCAUCAAUCGUUUUUCUUAAGAAAUUGUUUAAGUGAGUCAUGCGUGAAUCAAUUUGCUGUUCAUUUUUGUAUGCAGGUGGAUUCGUUGGGUCCUUGGGUUGUUGUCUGUUUUGCUUUGUGAUUUGCAAAUGCUCGUGUGUGUACACUUAUGACCCUGCACCAUUGUUAGUGUAAGUGCACUUUUGACUUACGUACUUGCACCCACACACGUUAACCACAGCACCAUCUCUUAUCCGGUUCUUUUAUUUUUUUUCUUAUUCAUGCCAUUUUAGACACCUCCUACCUAAUUUGCAAGACACACUUCUUUUUCUAUUUUUAUUGUCUCACCAACCUCUGCCAGGUUAUUUCACUUUCACUUAGAUAUAAGUACGAGCUGUAUCCAACUUUCCCCUUUGUCAGUUUUGAACACUGUUCUGAUGCACCCUUGCAAGAGUAUAAUACUGUUUUGCUUCUAAAUUUAUUAAAGAAUCU